rnacentral:lncRNA from 1 species
GGCCUUAUAAGAGAUUCAUAAAUAAAUAAUUAUUAAUAAUUCAUGACUUUACAAUUAUCAUAAUUUACAGCACCAACAAAUAUUUGAUAUCUUAACUUCAAGUAAACAAUAUUUUUUUAUAAAAAUUCCUUAAAACUUGAACACCAAUAGACUAUUAUAUUUCUAAGAAUAUAUAACAUGUAACUACUAUCCAUCUAAAAUGCCCUCAGACAAAAGAGCAAGGUAUGCGAAAAUACAAUGUCCUGAUGUUUUAUUGGGAAACACAAGACUCACUGUAAAAAAAAUGUUGAUUCGGAGGCAAAACACAAUCACACAAACUGCCAAUCGAAAUUUAACCCUGGGAAAAAAUAAAAAUGGUGGCUUUAAUAACAAACUUGCACAUUGAAUUCUAUUGUCAAUUCACUAAACAUGGGAAUAAGUCAUACACAGAUUUUGAAUUGAAAAAGACAUUGAAUGUUAGUUUCAUGAGCAAUGAACAUGGCAUUUGAUUUCAACUAAUGCUUACAAUGCUGGUUCAACUUCCUAAAUUCGAUUUGUAUAGAAUUUAUAACCACCUAAAACUCAUAAAUAAAAAUUAGAUAAAUAAAUAGAAUCAAAAGUAAAUUUUGUAUAUGAUGCUUUGCUUAAGUUUAACUGGUUUUGGUCAUAAAUGUUUUGUUGGAAAGGGUUGAAGUCAUAGAACUUUCCUCAGUGCUCGGAGCACAAAUAUCAUGUUCGAAACAUGAAAUCCAGCAUUUUGAUUGGUUUAUUUUGGAGUAUGAGUACAAAAAACUGACUCUAAAGUUUUAUGACUUUAAGGCAAGGUGGCAUCCAUGUGAUCAUCCUUUUUUUUUAAAAUCAUCACGACAUUGUAUACACUUUAACGACUGAGUUUUUUUUAAUGGAAAAAAUAUAUAGACGUCAUUUUUUCACGCGGACAUAUCUGAUGAUAUUUUAUUGCUAAAUCAAAAACUAAUCUUGGUUUACUUUGAUAUAUAACUAUUUUUAUGUCAUUGUUGGUAAUUAUUAUUAUUCUGUUCAAUAUAGGUGUAGUUUGUCAAAAAUAGAUAUCUGUUGUGGUUGCGAAAUACAAAUGUGUUGUACAUACUUUUCAUAGUGAUGCAUUGUGGCUUGUUGACAAUGAUAUUACUCGAGGUAUGGAUAAACUCAGAAAAUUAUACGUACACGACUUGGAAAGUCAGAGAUAUGAUAUCACGCUAGGUAUGGACAUAUCCAUAAAAUGUUAUUUGAACACGACUUGGAAGAUCAGAGAUGAGAUAUUACGCGAGUUAUGGACAAACAUAUAACCUCCUUGGACAAACCAUUGAAGUUAUUGAUUGUUUGUUUUUAAUUUGAACAACAUAAGAACAAUAUGCAUACAUAUUAUGCCAUGCAAUUGUUCCCUUUCGCAGUAAAAACCCCUGGAUUUUGGGAGUUGUUUUAUUGUCCAAUCUUUAGUUUUCUGUGAAUAGUGUUUUGCCUGUUUUUAUCAGACGAAAGGAUGUUGUAGAAUGUAUAAACAAAGUCAGAAAUAUGAAUACCAUUACAAUGUUAUGCAAAAAUGUAGAAAUAGUUUUUGGUACAAUUGUCAGUAUUUAAAGGUUAAACUUCCAAACAUUAACCACAAAAAAAAAAAAAAAAAAAAAAAAAAAUGAAACUGUGUGACAUUUGAAAUAAUGUGAUUGUACUUAUAUCUUCCUAAAAGAGAGAAGUAAUAUACCAAACUAAAAAUUCGAAAACCAACUUACUAUGCCAUACGGAAAACUAUCAAAACACAAUAAACCGUCUCCAACAGAACACAACAUGGUAAACAAAAGACUGGGCAACACGAACCUCAUUUAAAUCCAGAUAUCAACUUAAAUUCAAUCUGUUUGUGUCUUGUUCCUUUCGUUUACUUGUUGUGUCUUGUUCCUUAAGUUUACUUGUUGUGUCUUUGUUGUGUCUUGUUCCUUAAAGUUACUUGUUGUUGUCUUGUUCCUUAAGUUUACUUGUUGUGUCUUGUUCCUUAAGUUUACUUGUUGUGUCUUGUUCCUUAAGUUUACUUGUUGUUUCUUGUUCCUUAAUUAGUUGUAGGAAGAUGUGGUGGGAGUGCCAAUGAGACAACUCUCCAUCCAAAUAACAAUUUAAAAAAGUAAACCCUUAUAGGUCAGUUUACAUGUUGUGUCUUUUUGCAUUGAUUUUAUUUACUUCUAUGCAGAGUACUACAAUAAUAGUGUUCUACUUACAAAGGUUCGCAUCAUCAUUGUCGAAAAACUAUUUAAGACCAGCUUUUUAUAAAGUUAGAACUCCUUAAUUUUAACAAGAAUAUUCAAACAAAUUGAAGUUUUUAACGACCUUGACUGCCUAUACAGCCCUUGCAUGGUCGGCUCACACAAGAAUAUUAUCAUAUAAAUACUUAACUUAUUGAUUAAGGAUAGUACAUGUAUACAAGAUUGAACAGGCAGUUUCUUG